rnacentral:rRNA from 1 species
GAUGAACGCUGGCGGCGUGCCUAAUACAUGCAAGUCGAGCGAACGGACGAGAAGCUUGCUUCUCUGAUGUUAGCGGCGGACGGGUGAGUAACACGUGGAUAACCUACCUAUAAGACUGGGAUAACUUCGGGAAACCGGAGCUAAUACCGGAUAAUAUUAUGAACCGCAUGGUUCAAAAGUGAAAGACGGUCUUGCUGUCACUUAUAGAUGGAUCCGCGCUGCAUUAGCUAGUUGGUAAGGUAACGGUUUACCAAGGCAACGAUGCAUAGCCGACCUGAGAGGGUGAUCGGCCACACUGGAACUGAGACACGGUCCAGACUCCUACGGGAGGCAGCAGUAGGGAAUCUUCCGCAAUGGGCGAAAGCCUGACGGAGCAACGCCGCGUGAGUGAUGAAGGUCUUCGGAUCGUAAAACUCUGUUAUUAGGGAAGAACAUAUGUGUAAGUAACUGUGCACAUCUUGACGGUACCUAAUCAGAAAGCCACGGCUAACUACGUG